rnacentral:rRNA from 1 species
CUGAUGCAGCCAUGCCGCGUGUAUGAAGAAGGCCUUCGGGUUGUAAAGUACUUUCGCGGGGAGGAAGGUGCUGAGGUUAAUAACCUCAGCAAUUGACGUUACCCGCAGAAGAAGCACCGGCUAACUCCGUGCCAGCAGCCGCGGUAAUA